CAGUCGCCACGGGAAUACGUAGGGGGCAAGCGUUGUCCGGAAUUACUGGGCGUAAAGCGUGCGCAGGCGGUUCGUUAAGACAGAUGUGAAAUCCCCGGGCUUAACCUGGGAACUGCAUUUGUGACUGGCGAGCUAGAGUAUGGCAGAGGGGGGUAGAAUUCCACGUGUAGCAGUGAAAUGCGUAGAGAUGUGGAGGAAUACCGAUGGCGAAGGCAGCCCCCUGGGCCAAUACUGACGCUCAUGCACGAAAGCGUGGGGAGCAAACAGGAUUAGAGACCCCCGUAGUCCCUGUCUCUUAUAC
rnacentral:rRNA from 1 species